GAUGAACGCUGGCGGCGUGCCUAAUACAUGCAAGUCGAGCGAACAGAUAAGGAGCUUGCUCCUUUGACGUUAGCGGCGGACGGGUGAGUAACACGUGGGUAACUUACCUAUAAGACUGGAAUAACUCCGGGAAACCGGGGCUAAUGCCGGAUAACAUGUUGAACCGCAUGGUUCUACAGUGAAAGGCGGCUUUGCUGUCACUUAUAGAUGGACCCGCGCCGUAUUAGCUAGUUGGUGAGGUAACGGCUCACCAAGGCAACGAUACGUAGCCGACCUGAGAGGGUGAUCGGCCACACUGGAACUGAGACACGGUCCAGACUCCUACGGGAGGCAGCAGUAGGGAAUCUUCCGCAAAGGGCGAAAGCCUGACGGAGCAACGCCGCGUGAGUGAUGAAGGUCUUCGGAUCGUAAAACUCUGUUAUUAGGGAAGAACAAAUGCGUAAGUAACUGUGCGCGUCUUGACGGUACCUAAUCAGAAAGCCACGGCUAACUACGUG
rnacentral:rRNA from 1 species